rnacentral:rRNA from 1 species
UACGGAGGGAGGGAGCGUUAUCCGGAAUUACUGGGUUUAAAGGGUGCGUAGGCGGCUUUGUAAGUCAGGAGUGAAAGUUUGCGGCUCAACCGUAAAAUUGCUUUUGAUACUGCAGAGCUAGAAUCAGGAUGAGGUUAGCGGAAUGUGGCAUGUAGCGGUGAAAUGCAUAGAGAUGCCAUAGAACACCAAUUGCGAAGGCAGCUGGCUAGACCUGCAUUGACGCUGAGGCACGAAAGUGUGGGGAGCGAACAGG